AGGAAUCAUUUGUUAUGUCCAACAGAAAUCUAUUUCUUAUAGCUUAAAGUUAUUAUUUCUUUUUAUUUCUUAAGGUGCAACUCUGAACAAUUCUGCCCUGCUUCUACAUUACAACUAUUGAGAUAAACGAAGACAUACAAUUUGGCUCCCAACAUCUUCUCUAUAAUAAAUAUAUGCAGUGUUUUCAACCAACCUUGAAACCAUCAUUCUAGACUCCUUAUCAAUAGAAGAUAAUAUUUAACUUAGGGUUGAACUGUAGGGUUCAUGGUGCUCACUGAGCUUGGUUGUUUGCCUGCAGAUGUUUCAUUAACCAAUUAGGUAAUGUCUUCAGUGCUAGUGAGUGCAAAGUUUGCCCCUUGUUUAUAAACUUAUCCUGACAAUGUUGAUGGGGAUGUGAUUUUCUUUCUGGUAGUGCCUUGAUUAAAAUAUUGUUUUCUUCUUGAUUGUUUGUUUAGUGUUAAUCCCUGCUUAUCUGGGUUUUUGUUACUGGAGAGGAUGUAUUUUUCUUUUUGUUUCCUUUUUUUUAAAAAAAACUUUUUAAUAGUCUUUUUUGAAUGAUCUGUAAAUUUAGUUUAUUUCUAUGUGUUUGUUGAUGGCUAAUUUGUCUGAGUGCCAAGCUUGCAGGAAUUCCCUAGCAUUUUUGGAUUUAGCUUGUUCUAGGAUAUUCACAGUUUCCCAGCUGAAACUAUGGUUGUGUCUGUUCAUGUGUUUUGGAAUUUACAGGCAUAUUUCUAUUUAUUAUGACUUGUCUGCUACAGGUUUAGUCCUUGAUUUUUUGUUUGUUUAAACACUCCUUGGGCAAACUCAGUGAAGCUGAGAAGUAAGAAAGGAGUCAUUUUUGAGGGGAUACCUUGGGUAAAGAAUCAGACUAUAUAAACUAAGGACAAAGGAGAGUAUCAACAGCAGUGAGAUCUUCUAGCUGUGUUGUGGCCGAUCAGCGGCCUGUGUGGAUUGUAGCUGAUUCUGACAGCGAAGAGGCUGGUGUGGUGUUGCGUCAGCAGCCUGUGCAGCUGGCAUUUGAGUGAGACAAUGAGGAGGCUGGAGAAGAUGUGGUGCCAGAGGCAGGGAUUCAGCCAGGGCCUUCAGAAGCUCCAGAAGCUCCUCUAAGUGAAAAGGGCGAAGAGGAGGAGCCUCUUCUCAAUGCACGGGCAUGCAGAGCGGCCAAAAGACAGGAGUGGCUCCUCAGGAGGAGAUCUCCUCGAGAGUAAGGCUUGGGGCUAAUUGGCCACUCUCUUAGCCUAUUUAAGGAGGAAUACCGACUGAAGCAAUUUGUAGGGAACAUCUUUAGUUCACUCUACUUCGCGUCUGGAUUCUCUGCAAAUUGCUUCUGGGCUUUCUACAACCUUCGUAAGAUUGGGAUUACUUUAUCUUUGGUUUCUUGUAGGCUGUUAAGAAAGUUUAUUAACAGCCUUUGUUUUGAAAAAGACUGAGUUAUUUUAGUAAAUUAAGUUUUGUAUAAACUUUGUGUGUGCUGUGUUCUUUGGGAUCCGUAGCUGGGGCAGAACAAGCUGGGGAAAGUCACCAACUGGAAGAGAACUUCAGCCAGGAAAAAGAACUGGUUGUUCCUCAGCAACAAAUGCCAGAAAUCCAAUCCUAAUAUGAAAUACUUCUUGGGAAGCCUCAGCUUGCCAAUCUCCUCUUGAAAUAGUGUGCUUGGCAUCAAUCCAAGAAGAGAGGCUGAAAAAAGUAACAGACCCGGCAUGUUUCCAUCAAGCUCAUCUUCCUUACAGGUAAUCCUCAUUUUACAACUACAAUUGGGAUCAGAAUUUCCAUUGUAAAUCAGUACGGUUGUAAAGCAAGUCAUCAUGUGACUAGGCCUGAUUUUACAGCCAUUUUUACUACAGCCAUUAAGUGAAUCACCACAUUCAUCACAUGACUGUGGAGGUGGUAUGAUGGUUGUAAGUGUAAGGAUAGGCCAUAAAUCAGUUUCCCCAGACCAUCAUAAGUUUGAACUGUUGCUGAACAAAUAUUUGUAAGCGGGGGACUACCUGUAUUUUCUAUGAUAAGGCAUCAUUUGCAAAGAGUCAUCUUAUGUUGGUCUGAAGAUACUUUUUUCUGUUGUUCCACCUCUCUCUUCACCCUUCGAUCUUUUCUACUUCCCUACGCCUUAGUAUGGCAUUCUUUCAAAAGUUUUCCUUAUUGUUUUAAUGUAAAAUGUUGAUCAUAUUCUUGAUCAGAAAGCUCAAACUGCCCAAGGAGCUGCUGAUCCAGUUCUACAGAGGAAUUAUUGAGUCUGUCAUCUGCACCUCUAUAACUUUCUGGUUUGGCUCUGCAACCCAACAAGACAGACACAGACUUUAGAGGAUAAUUAGAACUGCAGAAAAAAACAAUUGCUACCAACCUGCCUUUCAUUGAGGACCUGUAUACUGCACGAGUCAAAAAGAGGGCUGUGAAAAUAUUUACAGGCCCCUCACAUCCUGGACAUAAACUGUUUCAACUCCUACCCUCAAAAAGAUGCUAUAGAGCACUGCACACCACAACAACUAGACACAAGGAUGGUUUUUUCCUGAACGUCCUCACUCUGCUAAACAAAUAAUUGCCUCAACACUGUUAAACUAGUUAUUAAGUCUGCAUUACUAUAAAUCUUCUCAUCGUUCCCAUCACCCAUUUCCUCCUACUUAUGACUGUAUGACUGUAACCUUGUUGCUGGUAUCCUUAGGAUUUAUAUUGACUGUUUCCUAAUAUGAUUUGAUUGCUUAGUUGUUCCCUAUGACUAUCAUUAAGCGAUGUACCUUAUGAUUCUUGAUGAAUGUAUCUUUUCUUUUAUGUACACUGAGAGAAUAUGCACCAAAGACAAAUUCCUUGUGUGUCCAAUCACACUUGGCCAAUAAAGAAUUCUAUAUUUGUUAUGCAUUUUAUGUUUUAUUAAUAUUUUCUGUAUUUUAUUUUGCUAUUAUCAGGCCUGAACACGUUUUUUCAGACAAAAAACAAUUUGCAGGAAUAGCAGUAAUGUCUGCCAAUUGAUUAGGUUAGUUACCAAUUUCCAAGUAUAUGUCAUUGGGUAUGAAUCCAAUAACACAGGAACCUUAGCACCUCAUAAUCUAUUGACCACAAGGUGUCAGACUAGAUAAAAUAGAGAGUUAAGGAUUUCUUUGUGUCCCCUCUUAAUCUAUACUGUAAUGAUGCCUGUGUAGAAGAGCAAGAGAGCUGGCGGGUGGAGUUACAGUUUAGAAUCCUUAUGUUGCCACAAGAGAUCCAAGUUAAUUCUGACAGUUGAUUAGAUUCUUGUGUAUAGGCUUGAAUAAAUCAUUUAUGCUGCAACCUU